rnacentral:tRNA from 2 species
UCGGCGGUAGCUCAGUGGCAGAGCGAUCGGCUGUUAACCGAUUGGUCGUAGGUUCGAAUCCUACCCGCCGAGCCA